rnacentral:rRNA from 1 species
CCUACGGGGGGCUGCAGUGGGGAAUAUUGGGCAAUGGGCGCAAGCCUGACCCAGCAACGCCGCGUGAAGGUAGAAGGCCUUCGGGUUGUAAACUUCUUUUCUCAGGGACGAAGCAAGUGACGGUAUCUGAGGAAUAAGCUACGGCUAACCACGUGCCAGCAGCCGCGGUAAUCCGGAGGUGGCAAGCGUAAUCCGGAUUUACUGGGUGUAAGGGGUGUGUAGGUGGGACGGCAAGUCAGAUGUGAAAUCCACGGGCUCAAGGUGUGGCCUGCAUUUGAAACUGUAGUUCUUGAGUGCUGGAGAGGCAGAAGGAAUGCCUGGUGUAGCGGUGAAAUGCAUAGAUAUUA